UACGUAGGGUGCAAACGUUGUUCGGAAUUACUGGGCGUAAAGCGCGUGUAGGCUGCUCGGAAAGUCGGAUGUGAAAGCCCUGGGCUUAACCUAGGAAGUGCAUUCGAAACUUCCGAGCUGGAGUUCUGGAGAGGAAGGCGGAAUUCUCGGUGUAGAGGUGAAAUUCGUAGAUAUCGAGAGGAACACCGGUGGCGAAGGCGGCCUUCUGGACAGUGACUGACGCUGAGACGCGAAAGCGUGGGGAGCAAACAGG
rnacentral:rRNA from 1 species